GAGAGUGUGGCCUAGUGGUUUGAGUGUUAGACUGUGACUUUGGAGAUUAGGGUUUGAUCCCCCAUUCAGCCA